AUUGAACGCUGGCGGCAGGCCUAACACAUGCAAGUCGAACGAGUGGCGGACGGGUGAGUAAUGUCUGGGAAACUGCCUGAUGGAGGGGGCUAACUACUGGAAACGGUAGCUAAUACCGCAUACCAUCCGAUGUUCCCAGAUGGGCUUGGCUUGUUGGUGGGGUAACGGCUCACCAAGGCGACGAUCCCUAGCUGGUCUGAGAGGAUGACCAGCCACCCGGGAACUGAGACACGGUCCAGACUCCUACGGGAGGCAGCAGUGGGGAAUAUUGCACAAUGGGCGCAAGCCUGAUGCAGCCAUGUCGCGUGUAUGAAGAAGGCCUUCGGGUUGUAAAGUACUUUCAGCGAGGAGGCGUUACCCGCAGAAGAAGCACCGGCUAACUCCGUGCCAGCCGCCGCGGUAAUAC
rnacentral:rRNA from 1 species